GCGGCCCACAAUUUCGUGGAGAUGGUCUUGCGCGCUCGUCAUCAACAGCACUAGGUCCAGUGGGCCAAUCAGGCUGAAUGGCAUCAUCCAGCUGUGACUGGGGUGUAGGAGUCGACACCUGCUGUUGCGCGGACUCGAGCUAGUACUCGCAUGAGCUCGCUGGAAUUGCUAUGUGCAUCCACAAAGUCCGAAAGAACAAGCUGGAAAGGGGUCUGGGAUCGUGCAACAGCGAGGGAAUUGUAUAAGCACAGAACUGUGUCACACCCUGUACGAUACAGGAGCGUGCCUCGUUUAUCACUGGUACCAUAUGACCCAUG